rnacentral:rRNA from 1 species
CCUACGGGUGGCUGCAGUGGGGAAUAUUGCACAAUGGGCGCAAGCCUGAUGCAGCCAUGCCGCGUGUGUGAAGAAGGCCUUCGGGUUGUAAAGCACUUUCAGCGGGGAGGAAGGCGUUAAGGUUAAUAACCUUGGCGAUUGACGUUACCCGCAGAAGAAGCACCGGCUAACUCCGUGCCAGCAGCCGCGGUAAUACGGAGGGUGCAAGCGUUAAUCGGAAUUACUGGGCGUAAAGCGCACGCAGGCGGUCUGUCAAGUCGGAUGUGAAAUCCCCGGGCUCAACCUGGGAACUGCAUUCGAAACUGGCAGGCUAGAUUCUUGUAGAGGGGGGUAGAAUUCCAGGUGUGGCGGUGAAAUGCGUAGAGAUCUGGAGGAAUACCGGUGGCGAAGGCGGCCCCCUGGACAAAGACUGACGCUCAGGUGCGAAAGCGUGGGGAGCAAACAGGAUUAGAUACCCUAGUAGUC